UCUAAAAUGGCAGAAAGAUGUAUAGGAUUUAAACUCCUAAAAGGAAGGUUAUCUUCUUUUAGAA
rnacentral:tRNA from 2 species